rnacentral:rRNA from 1 species
ACGUCAAGUCCUCAUGGCCCUUAUGGGCUGGGCUACACACGUGCUACAAUGGCGGUGACAAUGGGCAGCGAUCCAGCAAUGGUGAGCUAAUCUCCAAAAGCCGUCUCAGUUCGGAUUGUCCUCUGCAACUCGAGGGCAUGAAGGUGGAAUCGCUAGUAAUCGUGGAUCAGCAUGCCACGGUGAAUACGUUCCCGGGCCUU